CUUGUAGCUUCUCGUUAACUGGACAUUUCAUUAAGUAGUGGUAGUGAAAAUUGGAAGGAACUUUUGAAACUAUAGAACAGAAAGAAAAAUAAUAAUCUUCAAUAAAACGAACGACACUGAAAGAUUUUUGAAAGCACACAGUAACAAGAAACUUUCGUAAACUGACAAACUAACUUACGCAACAGAAUUGAAAAUUCCCCAUCAAAUAAAAAAGCAAUAGAAAACUGUAAGCCGAAGCACUGAAAAGUCUAAAAGAGUCAUCCAAACUGGUCGUUGAUCACCACAGACCUCAGCACAUCAUUCAGACGGAGAGUGUUGUGCAAAGAAAAGCAAUCUUCCGCAGAGUACACGCAAGUGGGUUGUGAAAAAGGAUAAAAUUUUCAACCAGCCGACUCCGGAAGGCUCGCCUCCUGAUAUUGUUCCAUGUAUUUCCUAUUUUAUACACGUACCUCCAGUACUCUAACUCUCCACCAAGUUCCCCCACUGUAG